rnacentral:lncRNA from 1 species
AAAAUUAUAUUUUAUACUUAAAAUCAAACAUACAUGUUGAAAGUCACAUAGUAAAUGCGAACGAAACUAAAAGCAUUGAUUUUGUUUGAUAAAUCUUUGAGGACCGACCGUUCUUUUUUUAUUUUUUUAUCUUUUAUUUUGUCAUCGAGGACCGACCGUGCUAUAUCGACUAACAUGGUUAAAGAAUUAUCCAAUCGGCCCAUAAAGCCCAACAUAUGUGUAACCUAAUCGGUUAUCUUCUUCCUUCAAAAUUACACCGAGGAUAACAACACAUUAAAGAGCAAAAGGUUUUCACGAGC